GAUGAACGCUAGCGACAGGCCUAACACAUGCAAGUCGAGGGGCAGCAUGAAAUUAGCUUGCUAAUUUUGAUGGCGACCGGCGCACGGGUGAGUAACACGUAUGCAACCUGCCUGUAAGCGGGGGAUAACCCCGGAGAAAUUCGGACUAAUACCGCAUAAUAUCAUUAAUUCGCAUGUUUUAAUGAUUAAAAAUUUAUUGCUUACAGAUGGGCAUGCGUAUGAUUAGCUAGUUGGCGGGGUAACGGCCCACCAAGGCGACGAUCAUUAGGGGUUCUGAGAGGAAGGUCCCCCACAUUGGAACUGAGACACGGUCCAAACUCCUACGGGAGGCAGCAGUGAGGAUAUUGGUCAAUGGGGGAAACCCUGACCCAGCAACGCCGCGUGAA
rnacentral:rRNA from 1 species